rnacentral:rRNA from 1 species
GAUGAACGCUGGCGGCGUGCCUAAUACAUGCAAGUCGAGCGAACGGACGAGAAGCUUGCUUCUCUGAUGUUAGCGGCGGACGGGUGAGUAACACGUGGAUAACCUACCUAUAAGACUGGGAUGACUUCGGGAAACCGGAGCUAAUACCGGAUAAUAUUUUGAACCGCAUGGUUCAAAAGUGAAAGACGGUCUUGCUGUCACUUAUAGAUGGAUCCGCGCUGCAUUAGCUAGUUGGUAAGGUAACGGCUUACCAAGGCAACGAUGCAUAGCCGACCUGAGAGGGUGAUCGGCCACACUGGAACUGAGACACGGUCCAGACUCCUACGGGAGGCAGCAGUAGGGAAUCUUCCGCAAAGGGCGAAAGCCUGACGGAGCAACGCCGCGUGAGUGAUGAAGGUCUUCGGAUCGUAAAACUCUGUUAUUAGGGAAGAACAUAUGUGUAAGUAACUGUGCACAUCUUGACGGUACCUAAUCAGAAAGCCACGGCUAACUACGUG